CGCAUCGUCGUCGCUCAUUUGGGCUGGUCACGUCAGAGGCCACGUGACAGCUCGAAAUCAACUUGUACUCAACACUUUUAGACGGCAGGGGGCGCCAUCGGUUAACGUCUCAAGUACAGCUUGUUCCAUAACUUGAGUUUCGUGUGUAAAUUACAGUCCAUUGCUUGUUUAGAUGCAAAUUAGUGACCGGAUCAUCUCUCAAUGUGGUUCAUCUAUGUUUGGAAUCUUCCAAAAUGCAAUACAACGUAUCUGGGACCCAGCCGCCGCUGUUCACACUCGCUUGGCCUGCCAACCAGCGGAUGACAACAGGCCCACUGGCUGACACGCUGCUGCGGUGUGGAGGGAGGUGAGAGGAGCAGAGUUGGGGCACCCGCAAAGCAGCUGUCCAGACACUUGGACAGCUGUUUUUGCGGGUGCCCGCCGCCAUGAAGCAGCACUGCCCGAAUUCCAAGCUGAUCCUUCCGGGACGGCACGUCCCAGAGAAGAAAGCAUCCCCCGGGGCCGUGUUCACCUGCUAGGCUUCUGCUCUGUAGCUUCAGCUUGCUGUAAAAUGUUGUCAGGCGGUGUGAGGGGCCCCAGGAGAGAGCCGGGUGGCAAGAACUGAUCUCGAGUCAAGUCAUGAAGACGAAAGGGUGGCCCGCUUCGGCGCGUUCACUUGCACGUUCGCCUCCCAGUCAGAUUUUGGUGGUUUGAAUCUUCAUCGGGCUUUGCUGGGUGGAGUCAACACUUUUGCUCGUGGCUUCCUCGCGUAUUCCAAGAACACACUUGUUCAGUUAAUUGAAGACUAUAAAUGGCCCGCAGGUGUGAACUUGCCAAGCAUAGCAGGUGGGGUUCUCGCAAAUAUCUUCAAAGCGCGGCCAUCUGCGGACAACCGCCGGCUCUCGCGGCGCACGAGAUGAGGCCGUGUCUCCUCCGAGAGUGAAACUGUGGAGCAGCAGGAGGGGACGGGAUCCAGACUUAUUUAAAGCCAGGAGCUCGGGGGACUUUGGGAUUCAUCGGUCCUCCUCGUGUGUUAUCAACAUGGCAGCUUUUCAAACGCCGCAGCGGGUGACACAGUACAUAAAGCAGCCCGGGCCGCUCUGAAGAGCCCCUUCUCCCAGAAUAGCUCUGGCCAGCUCUAUCUCACUGAUGCCCGACAACGUCGGAGCCAUCGCGGCGACACCUCGUCGUCUGCCACCGCCACCGAUAAGGCCGUCCGCAAAGAUGGCCGCCGCUUCGAGACAAUAAAUGACAACGCCCGCAGAUGGCUCGUUCAUAUCUCGUUUUUCUGCAUAUGACUUCA